GGGAGAGCAGAUGGCAGGCUGUCCGGCUGUCCGGCUGUCCAAGGUCUACGAUGUCCCCUGUAGGACUGGACCCCCUGUGGUCCUCAGAGACGCUGGAGCUGCCAUGCCAGCUGGACAGCUUUAGGGCCUGCAGAGCUGAGGAUGGAAGCCAGGGCCUUGCCCUUGCUAGACAAGAGCUUUAUCACUCUUACCACGAAAGGCCUUGAAGGAGGGUAGUCAUGGUGUGGACCAGAGAAUUGGAGGUGGGUGUGACCAAGGGUUUUCAACAAGUUUUCUCUAUGUAUAAGCCUUGGCUAUCCUGGAACUCACUAUGUUGACCAAGCUGGUUGAAUACACAGAAAUCUGCCUCCCUCUGCCUUCAGAAUGCUGG